UUUCCGGUUGAUCCUGCCGGAGGCCUUUGCUAUUGGGAUCCGAUUUAGCCAUGCUAGUCGUACGAGUUUAGACUCGUGGCGAAUAGCUCAGUAACACGUGGCCAAACUACCCUUCGGACCGCAAUACCCUCGGGAAACUGAGGCUAAUAGCGGACACCACACGCAGACUGGAAUGUCGCGUGUGUCAAACGCUCCGGCGCCGAAGGAUGUGGCUGCGGCCGAUUAGGUAGACGGUGGGGUAACGGCCCACCGUGCCAAUAAUCGGUACGGGUCAUGAGAGUGAGAACCCGGAGACGGAAUCUGAGACAAGAUUCCGGGCCCUACGGGGCGCAGCAGGCGCGAAACCUUUACACUGCACGCCAGUGCGAUAAGGGGAUCCCAAGUGCGUAGGCAUAGAGCCUACGCUUUUGUCCACCCUAGGGUGGUGGACGAAUAAGGGCUGGGCAAGACCGGUGCCAGCCGCCGCGGUAAUACCGGCAGCCCGAGUGAUGGCCGAUCUUAUUGGGCCUAAAGCGUCCGUAGCUGGCCGCACAAGUCCAUCGGGAAAUCCACCUGCUCAACAGGUGGGCGUCCGGUGGAAACUGUGUGGCUUGGGACCGGAAGGCGCGACGGGUACGUCCGGGGUAGGAGUGAAAUCCUGUAAUCCUGGACGGACCGCCGAUGGCGAAAGCACGUCGCGAAAACGGAUCCGACAGUGAGGGACGAAAGCUAGGGUCUCGAACCGGAUUAGAUACCCGGGUAGUCCUAGCCGUAAACACUGCCUGCUAGGUGUGGCACCCACUACGAGUGGGUGCUGUGCCGUAGGGAAGCCGCUAAGCAGGCCGCCUGGGAAGUACGUCCGCAAGGAUGAAACUUAAAGGAAUUGGCGGGGGAGCACUACAACCGGAGGAGCCUGCGGUUUAAUUGGAUUCAACGCCGGAA
rnacentral:rRNA from 1 species